rnacentral:SRP_RNA from 1 species
GCAAGUAAUAUUGCCUACAUAAUAAAAAAAUAUGGAAUUGCCUUUUGAACGCUCCGUCCGGUAUGGUCUGGGUCCUGCGCAAUAAGACUCCGUGAACCUUGUCAGGUCCGGAAGGAAGCAGCAAUAAGCGGAAGCUCUUAUGUGCCGCAGAUUAGCCUUUGCCAGAGCCUGGCGGAGCUUUCAAAGGGCAAUUUGU